AUUGAACGCUGGUGGCAGGCUUAACACAUGCAAGUCGAGCGGGGUGAUGGUGCUUGCACUAUCACUUAGCGGCGGACGGGUGAGGAAUACCUAGGAAUCUGUCCAUUAGUGGGGAAUAACUAUCCGAAAGGAUAGCUAAUACCGCAUACGCCCUACGGGGGAAAGGGGGGGAUCUUCGGCCCUCUGCCUAAUGGGGGAGCCUAGGUCGGAUUAGCUAGUUGGUGGGGUAAAGGCCUACCAAGGCGACGAUCCGUAGUUGGUCUGAGAGGAUGACCAGCCACACUGGGACUGAGACACGGCCCAGACUCCUACGGGAGGCAGCAGUGGGGAAUAUUGCACAAUGGGCGAAAGCCUGAUGCAGCCAUGCCGCGUGUGUGAAGAAGGCCUUCGGGUUGUAAAGCACUUUAGGCGAGGAGGAAAGGUUAACGAUUAAUACUCGUUAGCUGUGACGUUACUCGCAGAAUAAGCACCGGCUAACUCCGUGCCAGCCGCCGCAGUAA
rnacentral:rRNA from 1 species